AUUAGCCCAUGUUUUUUUUAGAACAAGCCCAUGUUUUUCUAUAUAAAAAUUUUCUGUAAUGAUUUUCAAAACUUAUAAUGAACCUUUUUCCUUCCACUGUAAGCCAGCCCAAGUGCAGCCCAACUAAGCAGAGGCUUAGAAUCUUUGAUCCAAACACCGAACAGGCCGAGCAUGGUGGAUCGAGCCCAGAACUGGCAUGUUUGCGCGGGCGAGCGAGCCGCCGACUUGAGGAUCGAAGCGCUAGUCCCAGCUCAUCGUGCUCUGCUCGCGCGCGCGCACGAUCGUCGGAACUGAUCCCCCGCCCUCGCCUGAAUAUUGGACUAGAUCCGCCGCUAGAGCUAGAGGCUCGCGUCGCUCGCGGUUUUGCGGCCUACUGGAGCGUUGCCUGGCAUGGCAGCUGGCGGCAGCCCUAAUGGUGCGCGCCGUGAUGCCGACGCCAUGUUCGACGAAAUGCCGCACCGCACCGCACCCCAGAGGACGGGACGGCGCGGAAUUAAAAAUUCGUCCCCUCGCUUGCAGUUGCAGGUGUUGUACUCCGGUUCCGGGGUGCGUUGAGGGCAGGUCGCGAUGCCUCGGCGAACAAGGGCAUGCUACUCGCGUUUUUUGUACGCACGGUACAGAGUUCCAGGGCUGGCUGCAAGGGAGAGUGGGCCUUUCAUGGUCGAGAUAGUAUGUCUGUCCAAGUAAGAAGCUCUACAUGUCACUGGAUCCCUUUCUACGGAGCUUGUCUCAAUUAUCAUAAGAGAGGGAAGCAAACUGAGAUACUACAAUGCUACCCUGAGUCAACCCUACAAUGCCAUAAAUUUUCUUGUCAGAUCAUACUGGCAAGAGCUAGUAAACUCAUCUUUGCAAGUACUCCAGUAAGAAUUGAAAUAAAGAUGCAAUAGGGUUAUAAAAGCUUGGUUGUUUUUGGGUGAGAUGUCAUUUCACAUCAAAUUGGAGUUAAUGGACUGCUGGAUUUCAUUGAAGAGCAAAGGGCAUUGAACCGCAGGCUGCAAAGAUAUGUGUAUCUAUGGAAUCCUUUCUAGCAGCUGCGGUGUAAAUUGCGUCAAUAAAGGGGCGUUCAAGAUGUUAACACUGCACAGAGCUGUUGCCAACAGCACCGUGGCGUAAGAUGCUCACAUGUAUUGGCAACUUUGCCAUGAAUACAUGGGGAGGAACCACAAAGGGAAGUAAAAUUGGCCUCGCUAAUAUGACUGAAAAAAACUUGUAUCUUCUCUUAUAAUGAUUUACCUUCUUUUACAAAAGGAUUUUUGAGUAUUUCUCAAUAGGUGACUUUUUAUGAUCGCCAGCCUAGCUAGCUAGAACCAUGCUGCAAGAUCACAGGGAGUGGAAGCAAGACAUGAAUAGAAGUUAAGAAGUGGAAGGGGGAGAAGAGGAGGGAGGGAGGGUCAUUGCUGUUUUGCAUUAAUACCAAGUAAAGAGAAGCAUUGACCUCUCUCCUACUUGACACGGCUAUAUAAAGACCCUUGGACCUUUCAAAGUCCGCAACCAAACACAUCAAAGCUCUCAUCUAUCUCUCUUUCUCCCCUGCCCUGAUCCCCUCUUCCCAAGC